rnacentral:rRNA from 1 species
UACGAAGGGGGCUAGCGUUGCUCGGAAUCACUGGGCGUAAAGGGUGCGUAGGCGGGGCUUUAAGUCAGGGGUGAAAUCCUGGAGCUCAACUCCAGAACUGCCUUUGAUACUGGCGAUCUCGAGUCCGGGAGAGGUGAGUGGAACUGCGGGUGUAGAGGUGAAAUGCGUAGAUAUCUGGAGGAACACCGGUGGCGAAGGCGGCAUCCUGGACCAACACUGACGCUGAGUGAGCGAAAGCCAGGGGAGCAAACGGG